AGAUGGGGGUUACAGCAAUUCUCCACCCCCAUGGCUGAAGGAGAGGAGAAUGAAGUGAAUUGUAAGCAGGGCCUUCGAAUUCAGACGUCCACAGACUGAUCCUGUCCUAAGCAGUUAUUCUGUAAAAGGAAGAAAAACUUAAUGCUCAUGAUUAAAUCCCACUGAGGGGAGGAAUGAACCAGCGCCGCCCUUUCAUCACUGUAGACACAUGGAAUGCUAUGAAACAUGGUCGUGAGAAACCAGUUUCCCCUCUGUAGUUCUGCGUGUUUUACAGUACAGCUUGCAUUUUUUGUCAAGAUUAGAAAUUCAACAAUCUAACACAGGAUUUUACAGUCAGAUACUAAAAAUAUGAGCUUGUAGUGUCAAGUGAAAAGUGUAAAUGUUUUGUUUUGUUUCUUGACAGUUUCAAUUAUCUACAUUCAUGUCUAAAAACUGCACAGUGUUUUGAUUUUGGUCACACAGCUGGUUUGUUGGUAAUUUGUUAAAAUGCCCAACUAUUCCAGGCAGAGAGUUCAAGGUUACAGAGUUCCCACAGACUCUGUGAAAGGCUGAAAGGUUUAUGAUCUGUGAGCUUCAUGCCCUAUAGAAUGUUUGGCAAGCAUUACAUAUCUGUGAUUAAUCAUAAGUCUCAUGUCAAUGAAACAACAACAAAAAUGUUUUUCCUCGUGAUGCAGCUUUCUUUUGGGGGGG